GGUGGGGUAGCUCAGUGGUAGACUGCGUGCUUAGCAUGCAUGAGGUCCUGGGUUUAAUCCCCAGCACCUCUU
rnacentral:tRNA from 1 species